ACGCGGUUACCCCGCAAGGGGUAACCGAGUGGCGAUCGGGUGAGUAACACGUGGGUGACCUAUCUUCGAGUGGGGGAUAACGUCCCGAAAGGGACGCUAAUACCGCAUAACAUCCCGCCUUUGAACAGGUGGAGAUCAAAGCUGGGGAUCGCAAGACCUGGCGCUGGAAGAGGGGCCCGCGUCCGAUUAGCUAGUUGGUGAGGUAAUGGCUCACCAAAGCGACGAUCGGUAGCCGGCCUGAGAGGGCGGACGGCCACACUGGGACUGAGGCACGGCCCAGACUCCUACGGGAGGCAGCAGUGGGGAAUUGUUCGCAAUGGGCGCAAGCCUGACGACGCAACGCCGCGUGGAGGAUGAAGGUCUUCGGAUUGUAAACUCCUGUUGCCCGGGACGAAACGCUCCGACCCAACACGUCGGAGCCUGACGGUACCGGGUGAGGAAGCCCCGGCUAACUCUGUGCCAGCAGCCGCGGUAAU
rnacentral:rRNA from 1 species